CAGCAGCAGUCCAUGAAGGUGACCUGAGCUCCAAGCAGAGGACUCUGACACACCAGGUCUGCCGUGACGUGCUGCCAGCACACAGACAGGUUCUCAUCUGGAGCACAGACAACCAGAGAGAGGACGACGCUUUAACAGUGUGGUAUCCUGCAGCAGAGAUGAGCGGCAGGCUGCAGAGGUCUGGGGCCUUAUCAGACAGCUGCCUCUGGAGACACUAAAGGCUUUACACUACUUGUAAAAACUGAAGACAGACACUUACCCACACAAGCCUUCCCGUCGCCGGUGGAGGUGAAGCCCUGGUCACACACACACAGGCUGGAGGUUCGGUACCCAGGCGGACAGUCACACCUGAACGAGCCAAUGGUGUUCACGCACACCCGCUCUGCCUCACACGCCCCCUCGCUGGCACACUCAUCUACAUCUGCAGACAGGAGAGAGGAGCCGUCCUUGCUGCUGUAUCCAGGCUGACAGGACACGCAGCGGUGUUGUUCUGGAGCUUGUAACCAUGACGACAGACACAGCGGUAGCUUCCUGGUGUGUUUUCACAGCGACCAUUGGAGCAGGGAGCCUGGCGACAUUCGUCGAUGUCUGCAAAUAUGCAUCAUGACAG